CACGUAGGGGGCAAGCGUUGUCCGGAUUUAUUGGGCGUAAAGAGCUCGUAGGUGGUUCGGUAAGUCGGGUGUUAAACCCCCAGGCUCAACCUGGGGACGCCACUCGAUACUGCUGUGACUUGAGUCCGGUAGGGGAGACUGGAAUUCCUGGUGUAGCGGUGAAAUGCGCAGAUAUCAGGAGGAACACCGGUGGCGAAGGCGGCUCGCUGGGCCGGACCUGACGCUGAGACGCGAAGGCGUGGGGAGCGAACGGG
rnacentral:rRNA from 1 species